UCUUGCCUCAUUAGGAGCUGCUGUCUGUGGGUAAACUGGUGUCUCUGGGAGGAACUGGGAAAUCUUGCACACUGGUUGAUGCAUUUAUCAAGGCCGAAAAUGGGAAUAUCUCCAUUAGGUGAAGGAGACAGAUCAUGUUAGGAACAAACUGAAGACACCUGGAGUGGUUUUCUUAGGCAAAUGUAGAGAGGUUAUUUCCGGGAUGGCUUUGGGAAUAUUUUGCACGUGCUGGUGAUGUUGAUUUCACUGUAGGGUUAUUAGCCUUUCACCCUAGUGCUGCUUGCUGACCUGCUGUGUGAAUCAAUGCUCACAUCUGAAGAAUACAGCACAUAGGAUUCCCUGGCAAAGCUUCAGCUCCAAGAACGUGGCCUUUGAAGUGACCUCUGUCAGUUUGCUCCUGCAAUGAUCUGACUGUAUCUUUAUCUGCUCCUGUUAAUCAUAAGGAAUACUUAUGGAAUUUGAUGUCUGAAGUGCUGAUUAUAGCAUCUGAACAUUAUUUCAACUAAACUUUUAUGCUAAUGAGAUGCCAUAUAUUUACCUUGCUGAAUUGGGACACCUCUUUUCCUUGUUUUGAUUGUGAAUGUGCUUGGGAGAAAAAAUACCACUUUUCUAUCACCAUUAUUUGGUUGUUUAGGCAGAUAAAAGCCUCAAGCUGCUUUGUGCCUCACCAGUACUUGUGUUGGCUUCUUCUAAGGCAAAAAUAUCUUCCAGAAAUGUCAAUAGAGGUGAGAAAUUAUUAUUUUGGAGCUUGUAAAUUAAACUAACUGCACUGAAGACAUGUUCUUUGUAUGUGAUGGCAGGAAACAGUGAUAAAUAUGAUGACAAAUUCAUAGUGAUAAAGAUAUCCUACAAUCUGUAAUUAUGUUCUUCCUAGUUUGUUAAUUAACUGAUUUUCAUGGCAUUCUUGUGGGGCGGGGAAGGCUGUGUUUUAUUAGUAGGACAUUGCUGAUUUUGAUUUUUGUCCAGUGAUUUUUCAGGAGAAGCUUGUGGCUAAAAUAGCAGCCUACAUUGUCUGCCCUUGGGAGCACACCUGAGCCUGGAAUGACCUUCCUGGUAUUACCUCAGAAAACCUCUUUCAGUUAAUCAUGCUUCAGAUGACCUGCCUUUGUGGUGAAAAAAUAAAAUAAAAAGUGACCUGGCAUCCUGCUUAAAGGGUGCUCAGAUACCUGCUGGAAGGACCUUGGUAUCUGCUGUUGCAAAACUGUAAGAUUUGUAGGAUAUUUGUAUGAAGUUCAGGCUUCCUGAAAAUUGUUAGGGACAGCUGAUGCUGCUUUUUGGGAGCCACUUGUAAUCCUUAGUUUACUCAGGAAAAACCCAUUUGCACCUGCAUUGCUUUAGAUGUUCCUUUCUUUUGAAACAGCAAGUGUAAUUUCACUCUUGUAAGAUGGACAUGAUCAAGGGCAAGAUACUAAAAAUAAAUUAAAAAACCACAACCCCAA